UACGUAGGGUGCGAGCGUUGUCCGGAAUUACUGGGCGUAAAGAGCUCGUAGGUGGUUUGUCGCGUUGUUCGUGAAAACCGGGGGCUUAACCCUCGGCGUGCGGGCGAUACGGGCAGACUUCGGUACUGCAGGGGAGACUGGAAUUCCUGGUGUAGCGGUGGAAUGCGCAGAUAUCAGGAGGAACACCGGUGGCGAAGGCGGGUCUCUGGGCAGUAACUGACGCUGAGGAGCGAAAGCGUGGGGAGCGAACAGG
rnacentral:rRNA from 1 species